rnacentral:rRNA from 1 species
UACGUAGGGAGCGAGCGUUGUCCGGAUUUACUGGGUGUAAAGGGUGCGUAGGCGGCUCUGCAAGUCAGAAGUGAAAUCUAUGGGCUUAACCCAUAAACUGCUUUUGAAACUGUGGAGCUUGAGCGAAGUAGAGGUAGGCGGAAUUCCCGGUGUAGCGGUGAAAUGCGUAGAGAUCGGGAGGAACACCAGUGGCGAAGGCGGCCUACUGGGCUUUAACUGACGCUGAGGCACGAAAGCGUGGGGAGCAAACAGG